rnacentral:rRNA from 1 species
UACGUAGGUGGCAAGCGUUGUCCGGAAUUAUUGGGCGUAAAGCGCGCGCAGGCGGUCUUUUAAGUCUGAUGUGAAAGCCCACGGCUCAACCGUGGAGGGUCAUUGGAAACUGGGGGACUUGAGUACAGAAGAGAAGAGUGGAAUUCCACGUGUAGCGGUGAAAUGCGUAGAGAUGUGGAGGAACACCAGUGGCGAAGGCGGCCUGCUGGGCAGUUUUGCUGACACUGAGGCGCGACAGCGUGGGGAGCAAACAGG